rnacentral:misc_RNA from 1 species
UGGUGGUGCUGGAGGUGGAGGUGGAGGUGGCUUCGGAGGAGGUGGUGGCGGUGGACUUGGUGGUGGGGCUGGAGGUGGGUUUGGUGCCGGUGGUGGCGCUGGUGGUGGGCUGGGAGGUGGAUUGCCUUGAAGUAACAAAGAGCGCAAUUGUCUGUUUAUUUUCAUACGAACUAGAGUUCAAUCAUUUGAUGUUUAUUUGAUCUUUUUUUUUCCCAUGAAUUGCUUAUGAAAUGAAUAAUUAAGCUCUUUACAGUAAGAUUAUGUAAUUAGCGGCACUUUUGAAAGCUAUCGGCUCCCCAUGAUGAGCAUCGUGUUUCUAUUGCUUUCAUUGACAACAUGUUAACUU